ACCCUCAAAAAUGCCACCUACCAAGAGACAGGUUUAUAAAGCACAGUUUAAACUGCAAGCUAUCAGUUACGCGGAGGUACAUGGGAAUCGAGCAGCCGCAAGAGAAUUCAAGAUCAACAAAAUGGCACCAUCUACGUAUCCAUCCGGGCAAAGACUACCGUGGAGCAGCAACUCCUACUGCAGUAAAAAAAUUGCCGACAAACACAUCCAGCCCAACCACAUCACCAACAUGGACGACAUGCCGCUCACUUUCAACAUCCAUGAACCACACUGUAGAGAAGGGGACCAGCCCGGUAGCGAUACACACAACAGGGCACGAGAAGUCGGCUUUUACUGUUGUGCUUGGUUGCCAUGGUAAUGGACAGAACCUGCCACCUAUGGUGAUUUUUAAAAGGAAGAUGAGUCAUCGUUAAGACUAAUCAAAAGUGCUGUAAGGACGAGGAGGAAAUGGCUGAGUGGUUGAGUGACAUGUACGUAAAGACACCGGAUGUUUUUUUUUCCACGCGUCACCGUCCCUGUUGAUCUAUGACUCCAUGCGAGUCCAUCUCACAGCCGCUGUGAAAAACCAAGUGCAGUAAAUGAAGUUGGAGCUUGCCAUCAUUCCGGGAGGCUUGACAAAGGAACUCCAACCGCUGGACAUCGGUGUAAAUACGGUGUUCAAAGUGUAGUUGCGAGCAGCGUGGGAGCGAUGGAUGACAGAUGGCGAACACAGCCUUACUAAGACCGGGAGGCAGCACCAUCGAGCUUUCGCAAAAGCCAGCAUCAUUUCUGAGGAGCCGCACGGCAACGAGACUGACUCUAACAAUGACAACAGGGAACCUGGCGUGUUUGAUGGAGAACUUGCCCCGCUGUUAAUUUCGGAUAUAGAAGGUCGUUGACAACCUCCAGGAGCGCCUGAACAUCAACAAAGACACCGUGGGCAUAACUCCCAAGCAGUCGCAGCUUCAGCAGUAGGCAUUCUCUUUCUAUGUUUCUAAAUUGGAUGCAGAUGAUCGGGUGCAUCAGUGAGGGGUUAGUGAUGCUGAUUCAAACGAUGGGACACUUAUCAUCUGGUAAUACUUACCCGACUCCUGUCAUACUCCUUCCUUGAGGCAGCAAAGAGUUGGGCAUUGGAGAUUGCAAUGCCACAGAAGGGCAGGUACAUCUGCAGCACCUGCGCACACAAAAAUAAACCUCUCUUAUCCAUCCAUCAUCAUCGGCACCAGCCAUGUUAAAUGCCAGAUGGCACCAA